GGAGGCUGCUGUCCAGGAGGAGGACGGGCAGAGCCAGGGGUGCCCAGCUCUUCUGGGCAAUGAAAUGCAGAUUUCCCAUUAAAAGGCAAAUCAUUAUUUCAAAAGGUUGAAUAGGAUGCGACUUAAAAAAAGAUUUUCAGCUGGUUAAAUUUAGGACAAGGGACGAGGUCCAAGGAGCUGGUGCUCCUGGCUGGCGGCCCGCGGCAGAACCUUUGGAUGGGAAAUUGGAGCCUUUUCACUCUCAGUGCUUGCCUCUCGGUAGUUUUUUUCUCUCUUCCCUGAGUUAGGCAAACAAAUGUUGAUAGCCGUGUUGGCCAGGGCUGUGCUUGCUUAAAAUAGGCUGUUUCGGUUGGCUGGUGGCCAAUUUGAGAUGCCUCGUCCCAGCCCACACCCUCUCUGCACAGCAGGCAGGAAGUGUCCAGCCCCGAGGGCUUUCUCCUUCCUUGACCACCGGCACCCUGACGCAGCUUCGUGCUUUUUACCCACAGUCCCAUGUCCCUGUCCUGCGGGUGGGAGGAGUUGGAGACUUGCCCCUGAAUUUAGUCUCUCAGACAAGGCCAUGGUGGGCAAGUCACACGGCUGCUUGGACCUUGCUACCUGCUCUUAUGGCACAGGAGCUGGGCUAACCCACCCCUGAGGUGGUGUCCAGCUCUGACCUGCUGAGCGGGCCUCCAUCAUGGGACCAAGCCCAGAUGCCAGGCUGCAGAACCCCAGCAGUGGAGGACAGCUUCUGGGAACCCGGACAGGACAAAACCCUAAUGAUGGGACAUGAGGAGGCCCUCUGCUCCACUGCCUGGAGUUUGGCUCAAAGGAUCUGCAGCCAAAGCAGAGCCACCGCCCAGCCCGUCUUCAGCCAUCUUCCUGAGAUCUGCCUGCAGACAUGCCAGAGUAAGAAUAAAUUCUUUGGCAAGCCACUAACUCUGGGGGUAUUUUAUUACAGAGCCGAUUUGUGCCCUGGUGGCAUUUUGAGAAGCCUGACCCUGAGGAGAGGGAUGAAGGUGUUCUAAGGAAGUGGGGAAGGGGAGGACGGCAGAGGUGCGGACAUAGGAGAGGCGACCUCCGAAUGGGGGUUAGGAGGGAGGCUGGGGAGGGUUCAUAGAGGGAAGGGGCAGGUUGGAAAGGCACGUUGGAAGCAGGCUGGGAAAGCUGUCGGAGGUUUCAGAGGGGACACCCCACGUCAGGUGUCCUUCUUUUCUCACCACCCCCCUUUACUGUCUUUCUAAGGCCACGCUACGGCAGAU
rnacentral:lncRNA from 1 species